CAAUGCACCUAUCUUCCAUGUGGCUGAACAAAUUUCUGUGGCUGCAAAUGGAUCCAAAAAGGAGCAAGUUUCUCAGGAGUAUGCUUCAACGUCUACCUCCAGUUACCAGAUUGACCUGUGGAAGUGAAUUUUUAUAUAUAUAUAUAUAUAUAUAGUAACUAUAAAUAAGAUACGAUGCAUAAUACCAAUUAUAGGAAGUACGUACAAGUGAAUGUUGGAAAAAAAAGACCAUAGUGUUGUUGCUACGUGUUGUUGUACAUAAGAAGCCUAAAAUGUUUUAUAUAUCAUUAGUUGUUGAACCUCUUGAGGCUGGAGUAUAUGGACUGAAAAUGUAUCCAUUAGUUGCAAUUCUUCAGUUGCAAAAAAUACGCCUAUAUAUAGAAAACAAAUUAGUGCUUCAAGGUCAACUCUAUAGCAGGAAGUGAUCCUUAUGAUGGAAAGAGUUCUAUGAAUUAAUGUUACAAGUGAUUUGUUCACUACAGCUUAAUGCUGCAUUUAUUACAAAAGUUACAUAUGUUUUCAGUUUGCAUUUGAAAUAGCCAAUUUCUUGGAUCUACCAGAAGUUUAAGAAUGGAGGGAUGAGAUAUUUGAGAAUCUAAACUAAACGUGCUUCUGAUAUAUACGUCACUCCACUGUGCCAGUUUAGAAUUGACUGACUGUUAUAUGGCCUUUGCUGCAAGCGUACAAUUUCUGUAUAGCAUAUAAGAUGUGAAAUUUUAAACACCAAGUUGAAGGGAUUAACCAAUGAAAUUGACAGAAAAUCAUUAACUAUAUAUGCGCAUGUAUUCUUUCAUUAGUUUUGUUCGUUCAAGUGGACAGACUCUCGAAUCAAAAUUUAGAUUGAGUUUAGGCUUUUACAACAUUGGGAAAUACCAAAGAGUAAUUAUGUAUGAGCACCCAAAAAUUACAAAUAUCUAUUUCACAUCCUUUAUUUAUUUUUUAUCUUUCACUUUCUAUCAAAUCAUCACUUAUCAUAUUUGUAUUUUUUUUCUUAAUGUGUCAUAUAACAUGGAAAUGUCUAAACAUGCAUCUUUUAUUGGUUAUGACUUGAGAUUUUAGCGAUAUAACCAAAAAAAAAAACUUUAGAAUCUCUAUUUUUUAUUAUGUGAAAGAAAAUUAAAUCAUAAGAUUAGAUUAAAAAAAUUAAACUCUUUUUUAUAUUUACUUUAUCUUGUUUUUUGUCAAAUACCAAUUAUUUUGUUUUUGUUUCGUUAAAAAAAUUAACACAUUCUUUCAUACACUGUGUAUACCUAGUUUUUUUUAUAGAAUAUAUAUAUAUAUAUAUAUAUAUAUAUAUAUAUAUAUAUAUAUAUAUAUGUUAUAAACAAGCUACAUCUUAGAUAUAUUUUUAAAUAAUUAAAAUUAUAAUUAUAACUUAUUCUUGUUUUUUUUCUUUUAAAAUAAGUUUUAGCAAAUCUUUUAAAUAAUAUUUUUGAAGUUGGUAAACUUACCACAGCGUAUUUGAGUUGAUCGUAGGACUCCGGCCUAAGUUUACCUAAGUUAAAAUAAUAUUUUUGAGUUGAUCGUACGAGUCGUGCCUAAGUUUACCUCUUUUUUUUUUUUUCAAAGCAAAUUGAUUAUAUUAAUACUAAGAAGGGUAGCACUUGUCACAAGGAGUUCCAAAUGCCCCCAGAACCGAGAAUUACAAAAGGAAAAAAGUUCCAGCAGCAGUUCCGUUACAUAUAUUAAUGUAAUCCUAAACUUUUGAUCAUACCUCGCUAAGAAAUGUAAGAUCGCUUGUAAAUGGAGUCAUUCUAUUAGAAGUCAAGUUUAUUUAUUAAUUUUUUGAGGAUACGAUAAAUCGGUACCUUAACGCUAAAAACAAAUUGUGUGGAAAGAUAAAAUAUUCCAUGACGUACAAUUUCGAUUAAAUACUUUACAAGAUGAAUUCUUCAUAUUGGAGUUAUUAAUUAGUUUAAAGGAAUAGAUAGAAUCCGUGUGAAAGUCUUCUACGUGUACCACAAACUACAGCGACAUUUAAGUUGAAGGAUAAUUCUACCCUAACCUAAUUUUUUGACGACACAUUUCUUAUAAUUCAAGAGAGUGAUAAGAAAAAAAAAAGUAUAUAAGAUGAGUAAUUGAGUACAUGCAGUACUGUCUGCAUAUUGAUGCAUGUAAUUCAAGAAGGGUUGGAGCUGCUCAAAAUGGGGUAGUUUUACUUUUAAAAUUAUUAAAGUAGUAUUUUAAAAAAAAAUACCAGUACUAAUCGGAUUUAAAGUCAACUUUUAAUUUUCUAAAAUACAUUUAGAGUGAUUUGACAGCAUGAAAAAAAAAAUUGCGGCAAUUUGUAACUGCAAUAAAAUAGAAAUAUUAAGCAAAGUUGACUAAUAGAAAUUCAACUUACCCCAUAUAAGUAUUUUCUUAAAAAAAAAAAAUACUACUUCAGUAAUUUUAUAAGAAGUUAUACUAACUUUGAGAUGUUGUAGCCGAAAACAAUACAGCAGUAAUAGCUGGCUAAAAGAAAAAUGUUAAUUUUAUGCUCACUUCCGUGCUAUAGAUACGCACAUAUAGAAAGAGAUCAAAAAGAAAAAGAAAAUCAUAAGUAAUAACAUGUGAUAAAAAAUAGAAGGAAAAAAAAGUGUCGAUGAAAUGUUUAUCGGUAUAUACAUACAAAUCAAAACUAUAGCUAAUGCAUGAGAGCGUUAAUUAAGAACACUGCUGAAAGUUAUACGGCAUUGAUAAAAAUUAACGAGUUUAACUUUAUAAUUGAUUUCAAACUAAAACGAAGAUACGAUCAUAUCAAAGUCUCGGAAAGAUACCAAUUACAGAAACUCUUGAAUCCAAAAAUGCCGUUUAUAUCAAACUACUAUUACCUUAACUAAGAGACUUAUUUUGCUCCAUUCUCAGGGCAUACCUGUGUAUAUAUGAAGAUGGCUCCUCAGCUACCCCAGCCAAAACAUUCUUCCGUCUAUCACAUGCAUUCUCAAAAUGUUUCAACAUAACCGGGUCCCAAGUAGAGGGAUUCAUUCAAAAGGUUCCACCAAGAGUGACGUGAGUUUCCAAAAGUUGUUGGUUUUAUAUACCAAUAACAAAGCAAAUCUCAAACGACCAAUCAUAUAUGUGAAUGCUAUUCAAGGACAACGAAUAGUUACUUGUGUGGCUGUUAUUGAAAAUCGACGACAGAUGUAAAUUCUUUUGUCGGGGUC
rnacentral:lncRNA from 1 species